GGCGAACGGGUGAGUAAUGCUUCGGAAUCUUCCCAGUAGUGGGGAAUAACUAGCCGAAAGGUUGGCUAAUACCGCAUACGUCCUACGGGAGAAAGCAGGGGAUCGCAAGACCUUGCGCUAUUGGAUGAGCCGAAGUCGGAUUAGCUAGUUGGUGAGGUAACGGCUCACCAAGGCGACAAUCCGUAGCUGGUCUGAGAGGACGACCAGCCACACUGGAACUGAGACACGGUCCAGACUCCUACGGGAGGCAGCAGUGGGGAAUAUUGGACAAUGGGCGCAAGCCUGAUCCAGCCAUGCCGCGUGUGUGAAGAAGGCCUUCGGGUUGUAAAGCACUUUUGUCCGGAAAGAAAAGCAUUCGAUUAAUACUCGAGUGUUAUGACGGUACCGGAAGAAUAAGCACCGGCUAACUUCGUGCCAGCAGCCGCGGUAAUACGAAGGGUGCAAGCGUUACUCGGAAUUACUGGGCGUAAAGCGUGCGUAGGUGGUUCGUUAAGUCUGAUGUGAAAGCCCUGGGCUCAACCUGGGAAUGGCAUUGGAUACUGGCGACCUAGAGUGCGGUAGAGGGUAGCGGAAUUCCCGGUGUAGCAGUGAAAUGCGUAGAUAUCGGGAGGAACAUCCGUGGCGAAGGCGGCUACCUGGACCAGCACUGACACUGAGGCACGAAAGCGUGGGGAGCAAACAGGAUUAGAUACCCUGGUAGUCC
rnacentral:rRNA from 1 species